AAAUAAUUUGAAGUACAAUAAACUUAAAUUGAAAAGUUAUUGAACAGACCACACCUCUUUUUCCCAGUUGUGACAACUGUCUUAUUAACAGAGUAAUGAGCAGUUGCUUAAGGUAUCAGUGUGUAUGUAAAAUUGAUUUCAGCCACGCACUGAGUCGACGGUUUCUGCCUUUGGUUGUGGUUGUGUAGAUUCAGGCACUGCUGGCAAAGAACUGGAAGGCUUUCACCCGGCCGGCUGCAAGCGGCGUUUUUUUCCAAGAAGAUCGCGGGAACACGUGCAGCUGUUUUACGCGGUUUACCAAGGCCUAUUAUCUGGACACAGCUGACAAUGACAUGUACAAGCAAACUCCAGUGGGAUUGCUUUUCAUCGGUGAAGAGAAACUUAAGCUGAACCCGUCCAAAGUGGGAAUCAUCUUGGAAGGGAA